rnacentral:lncRNA from 1 species
UUAAUCCUUUGCCUCCCUUUGGCAAAACCCAAGUCAACUAGAGGGCUGUCUCCUGAAGAUUGAGAGAUCGCUCUUGGAAGACAGACCUUCAUUUAAGUGCAAGAAAAGUGUGGUGGCUCUGGGCAGAGCAGCAGUGUGGCAGCAGAGGUGGUGAAAACUGAGAGUGGCCACCACCAAUGCAGACAAGCGUGCACUAACUACAGAAGGGGGCCGAAACUUGCUGCUGUGUCUUGCAGUGAUUCCCAAGUGACCAGUGCUCAGGUGACUAAGUAAGAACCUGGGGAGAGAGCUGGGUGAAUGCCAACUAUCUGUGUCCCAUGUUUAGAGACUCUGUGGCUCAAGGAUACGUUCCAGCCAC